CGGUUAAGUGAAAUAUAAACAAGAUGGUUGAAUAUAUUCGUAACAAAUACAUUCUCUGAGCAUUUUAAUGUCACGUCCAUAAUGCCGGAAUCGUCCACAUAUGCUUUAAUGUCUGUGCUGUAAUGAGACUCAUUUCUCUGUUGAUCGGGUGAUUGUGAGAGUGGCAGACCUGUGACCCUUCCGUCUGAGUUCAGUGUCCGGAUUGGAUCCCUCUGUUCUCUUGUAUUGAACUCUUUUGGAAUACACGCCGACGAUGUGAUUUUAUCACUCACCUUACAAGCGGUUCAGACAUGACAACAUAAAAUGUGAGCGUGUGUGCGGACGGCUGGAGGGCGAGUAAUGGAUAAGAAGUGUGUAGAUCAAUGAAAGUGCUUCAGUCAGGCGUGUUAUAUGAGCUCGCGUCAGUGAAGAGAUGACAGACAUGUCUAAUGUACAUGCUUCAUGUUACAGAAAUCACAGAGUCCAGUUCAUCCUCAUGCACCCAACACAAACUCUCUCUCUCUCUCUCUCUCUCUCUCUCUCACUCUCUCUCUCUCUCUCUCUCUCUCUCUCUCUCUCUCUCUCUGUCUCAUAAACUUCUCAGCAUCAGUGCUGUUGAGCACUUCACAUAUGUUUGCCCUCUCAUGUUCUUCCAGUGUUCUCCUCCUGCUGUCUGGAUCUUCAGACGCUCUCACACUCACAUCAACACGUCUCACUGAAAGGUGAAGGGAGCUGCACGUGUUCAAAGCUGGUUCUUAUAUAGAUCAAGAGGUUUCCAGAAGGAACUACUCAAUCAAGGCAUAGGAGAUGACGAGUACAUACAUCUGCAUGUGAAGAAACUGAGCGAAGGAGGGAGCCUCAGUUUCUUGAAUGCCUGUACCCUAAAACUAAAGAUGACCCCAAAGCUUUUGAAGUGGCUGUAAACACUCAGAUAUUCAACAAACAAAGUCUGUUAUUGUCUUUUACCCACAUAUUGUAAACAAUCACUUCUCAUGUUUCACAGUUUUCUUUCUUUCUGCAAUAUUGUGAUUUGGUUUACACUUGAUCAAAACAAAACAUUUUUACUUUUUUAAGUGUACUGUGAUCUAUUACCACUCUUAAAUCAAGUUUUUUCUGCCUUCAUUAGGGAGAAGUGGUGUAAAGAAUGGAUGAAUGGUUUUAAUGCCUGAAAUCUGUUAUGCUGUGGAUUGCUGAUAUUAUAACAUUAGUAGUUUAUAAAUGUAUAAAAUAAUUUUAUAUACAUUUUUAAUAAUGAAUUAAUUAUGUUUUAAUUAUUAAUAGCUUUGUGUGCAUGUGUGAUGCAUUCUCAGAUGUUCCAUAAUGUUCUCUCUCACUAAGCUGUCCAUCAAGGUAACUUCAUAUUCUGAACUCAUCUUCCUAUGAAAUGAAACAUUUUCAACAUUUAAAGGCGGGGUGUCCGAUUUCUCUUAGCCGUUGUUGAUGUUCAAAUCAUCAAAUCAAAGACACCCCUACCCCAUCUUUGUUUCCGUCAGCGCUCGGCUCAACUAAUGUCCGUCCUGUGCACCUUACUGCUGAUUGGCUACAAGGUUGUUUUGGUACUCGGCCCGACUUCGUCUAAACAAGCGUAAUUCGGAAAUCGGACACCCCGCCUUUAAGUGCAUCCAUCCCAAAAAGGUAAAAAAUUGCUCUCAUGAACCUUCUCUGGAUUGGUUCCACAUUUGUAGAAUGAUCUGCCCGUCCUUAAAUAUCAGCAGAUUCUGUGGCCAUCUUUAAGAAUCGUCUGAAAACACAUCUCUUCCGUCAGCACCUGACCGAUCAGUUCUGACUUCUAUAUCUUUUCUUCUCUUUCUGUCAAAAAAAUAAACCUUAGCCCUGUACACUGUAGCAGGCUUUGUGAGACAUGUUUUAUUGCACUUAUGCUUUUUGUUUUCCUAAUGCUGGCCCAGUUGCUUCCAUUGUUUACCCAACUUGUAAGUCACUUUGGAUAAAAGCGUCUGCUAAAUGACUCAAUGUAAAUGUAAAUGUAAAUGUAAGUGUUUGGUUCAUUGUGCUUCACACAAACAUCAAACUGUAUCACAAACAACAUAGAACCUAGACAUAAAAAAGUCUUCCUGUUAGUCCGUUUUUCUUACCCAACAGUCUGUGUUAAAGGUGUCAUGAACUGGCCUUUUUUAUUGUUUUAUACUGUUGUAUGAGGUCUAUUUAUGACGUUCGCGUGGUUUUUACAGUCAAAAAGUAAUAGGCUAUUUUCUACCCGGGUUUUGAGGCCGACAAUAUGUGUUAAUGGGCGUGCCGCAUUGAAGACUUGGAAGUAAACGCCCACUGCUAUGAUUGGAUAGCAGUUUGCGUAGUCAACUUAGUUGGAGCCGUCUGUGAAUUUGGUUAGACACGUCACGUUAGGUUACACAUUAUCAGGACAUAUCAAGCGAGCUCUGACAAAGCAAUAGUGAGUCAUAGUACAAAUAUGUUUUACUCACAUAAGAUUGCUGCGCCAUUCCUGUCGGAUCCAAUAUUGACAGCUUUUUCAUUUUAGUCUCUCCACAAAUCCAGCGUCGACCUGGGCCUUGUUCACAAAGGAAUCCGCGGUGACAUGAAGCGAACAAAGCUGAAUGUUUUACCCACGUGAGCUGGAACGUCUUUAAAAAUAAACUUCAACCACGCAUUACUACUGUCGGAAUCUGAAGGAGCGACUGUGUUCUUCCACAACCAGGCACUGCACAAUAUUUUGCGAUCUUUAACGGCAUGUUUAUUGCUUGCUCGCUCUAUCUGGUUCUUGUGUUACUUCAGUUCUGUCAUGCGCGAACCGGUGGGCGGGGCUAGAGAAGUAGUCGUUGAUAUUCUUCUGUGGAGGCGGUGUUCAACCUAUCAGGUGCAUUCCAGGACCUGGCGUUCGCUGGGCCUGGUGUCAAUAACAGUUGUCUUUCAGUAACAAGGGUGUUUUCAGUUCUGACACUUACAGGAUGUUCGCUUGAAUACGAUUCCCUCUUAUAUAACAAAAGAUCGGGUCUUAAUUCAUGACACUUUUAAAGUUUGUGAUGUGCUCCACCUUUCCUGUCAUCUCCAUAGAAUUUUGUCAUAAUAAAGAUCAUCGCUAUGCUGUAUAAGGUCAGUUGAGAAAUUUCCAAAAUAAAAACGAUGCAUUUAUUUUCAGUUGAUGUCAUGAGCUUGUGUUGUUGACAUUAUUUUACAUCAUCGUCUGUCUGUAGAUCUCUCUUUUUGUGAGAGUUUGUGCCUUCAGAUGUCAGGCCGGGUUUGUUGGUGUAAACAGAAGAGCCUCUUGCAGUCACGUGGUUUCUCCCUCUUCUUGAAUUAUUUUCCCGGUGACGCAGCACAUCUCAGCAGAUGGCAGGUUUGGCUCCACACAGACACAGUCUGACGCAUUACAGCCGAAGCGUCCGGCGGCGAGCGGACAGAGCUCUGUGUGCCGCCACAUUCUGUGCUAGAUCUUUGAUUCGUUUCAGAUACAGCAGCGGGACCUCGAUAAAGCCGCAUCAUGUCCUGAGAUGAGACCACCUGAAGGGUCUGGAGGAGGGUGGGCUUCAUUGAGUGGUCUGCGGGUGAUCUGAGCUCUCUGAGAGUCUUGUGUUUCACUGUUAGGGCACCAAUAACACGAGGCAAUACAAAGACACGCUGAAAAACACUGAAGCAUCAUCAUCAUCUCACACAGGGAGCUUUUAUCGCUCAGAGGUUUUUCUUUGUGAGCUUUCUGAAUUCUCACAUGGUUUAUUUAGGUAUUAACAUUGUUUUAGAUGUUUUUGGAGAAAUACAAGUCAGUUGUUGAUAUGCAGUAGAAUUAUUAAAUUGACCGUUAGUUGGUUUUUAUUAAAUGCAACUUUUAUUCAUUGAAAUCGUUUUGUUGUGAUGAGAGGUGUUUGAGUUCAUAUUGAGGUGUUUUUUUUAUCUGAGCAGUGUUCGAGAUGAUGUUGAAACGGUUGCUCAGGCACUGAUAGAAACACAGGAUUAUUGCUUCUGUGUGCACGUGUACACGCGUGACGCCCACCCUUACACUCCCACACGCAGAGUGCUUUCCACUUUACAAACUCGCAUCUUAAGACAGACGCCUGCACAACCUUCAAAACAUCAAAGCUCCUGAUGAAUUUUCAUGAUGUUUCCGUAUUGCUGACACUUUCAGAGGAGUAAUGUCAUGAUUCUGACCUCCUAAUGACUCGACUGAAUCACCUGCUUUUUGUUUAGAAUACCCAAAGAGAGAGAGAGAGAGAGAUUAAAGGAGACAGGCAGGCAGACAGAGAGAGAGAGAGAGAGAGAGGAAUGGGUGAACGAGAAGGCGUAUGUUUUGCACAUUUCUCUGCGUUCGCUGCCAAACAGCAUGUGCUAUAAUAACACUCCUACACACACACACACACACACACGCGCACGGCUGUGAGUAACUCAUAACCUCAGUUCAUCCGUACAUCGCUCAACUGCCCCUAACCAAGAGCUAAUCACCUGUCUGUGCCUGAGGGGAUGUCUGUGUGUCACGUCACAGCCGUCUCUCUCUCUCUCACACACACACACACACACACACACGACAUACAGUAUAUAGAAACACAAGAAUAUUGGCCAGGUUACAUUUCACCCCCCCCCCAAAAAAGUCCAUGACAAUUUCUUUCCAAUUUGGACAUUUAGGCUUUAUGUUUUUAAGCUUCCAUUUUACAUGAUGUACUGUUAUAGUCUAAUUUUACAGUUUAAAUCUGCAUUAAAUAAUUAAAUGCAGUGUGACAGACACUACCAUGAUAUAUAGACAACACUAAAUCAUGCAUUCAAAUGAAUUUAGAAUUAGUUAAGAAUUCACUACAUGAAAAUAAUUAAGCUUUAUUUGUAUUUAUUUUGCAUUAUAGUAGUGAGAUUUGUGGUAAAAAAAUAAACAUGUAUUGCUUUAUGAGAUUUAUCUUAUUUAUGCAAAAUACAUGUAUUUUUAUUUUAGGGUAGAAUAUGCCAAACAGGAUUCACCCACACGUACUACUGUACUGUAUAUUAUUGUGAAUGUUUCAUCAAACAUUAUUUCACAGACAGAAUACCUGACAUGUUGCUUUUAAGAACGUUAAUGGAGGCUUGCAUCGUGAAAAUCAUUUGGUUUCUGUUUCUAGAGAACUUGAGUCAGUUGUGAAUAACAAUAAAAGUUUUUGAUUCUCAGCUGUACUGCUGUGUCACACACAGGUAGUUGAGUGUAGUCACUGUCAUUUAAGACGUUCCGCCUCGUUAGCCAAUCAGAAGCCUGGGAUUGAGCCCUGUCUAUAGAGGAGAUGUCUGGCUUCUGAUGUCCUGAGAAAAGGAGACACGAGGGGCUGCACAGAAAUGCAAACCGCUCGCUGCAUGUCAGCCAAACUGGGUCAGCACUCUCUCUCUCUCUCUCUCUCUCUCACACACUCACAGGCUCGCUCGCUCACGUCUGACGGAAGCAUUUCUGUUGGUUUUGAAAAUGUUUGCCUAGAUACUGCGCUUGGCCUUUGGAAAGUGGCUUUUCUGUCUGACACGUGUGUGAAAAGUUCACGUUCAUGAAAUGUUAAGUGCUCCCCUCGUCCGGUGUGUGUGUGUGAAGAGAGAAGGGUCUAAAAGAAAGUGUCAAAAUUGUGUAUCGUCACACACCCUGAACGGCAAAUCGGCUGCUUUCAGAAUGUAACGUAUGAUGUCACCGUGACAUCAUCCUUGGGAGGUCAGACAUCUCAACUCCAACUCUUUUUUACAUUUUUACAGUGAAAUCUUCAAAACCAUAUGAUCUGUGCUGUGGCAUCCAUGAUCAUUUUAUAGUUUGGUACUUUGACCGCAAGUCAAAAGUUGACUCAUUUGUAUCUUUUUGUAAGUCCGUGGAUACAAAGUUGAGGCUUCGAAGAGACUAAAGUGAGAAGCUUUGAAAGAACAACAAAGAGUUUUUAUUGGGAUGAACAUGCAGAAUAUCUUCAUAGUUUGUUUUGUGGUGGUAACGACGUCUCUGCGUGUUUGUUUUCUGAGAUCUACUUCCUCUUGAAACAGGAAGAGGCUGUGGAGGUCACACUCAGCGGGCCUGCUGGAGCUUUAAGCAUUGGGACGGUAGUGUGACGUCAGAGUCCUGGCACAGCCGCAAACGCCCGGCCUCAGCGCACCUGUCUCCCAUUUAAGUAAUGGAUUCUGCUGAUGCUGCCCAUCGCAGCGCAAUUAGGUGUUUCCUCAGGAGAGCAGAUCCGCCUCGGAUUCAGCGCGGGACUGAUAAUGAUGCCGGAGCUCGGAGACGUCUCAGAACAGCACUUUCUAACGUCACGGGACGCUGAAGAAAGCCAGCAGGAGCUGCGCUUACCAGUAACAACACAAGACUUUCACUAUACAGUAUAACAUGACCUGGACUACAGCGUGUGAAUCAUAUGAACCCAUGUCCUGUUGUGUUCCACAGACACUGAGAGAAAUAACAGCAGAUGCAUUUGGAGAGACGUGAUGGUGAGUAAAUCAUGACAAGGAUCAUUUUAUUGCAGCAUCUCUGACGUAUGUUCUUAAUUCGGUUGAACACUGAAAGAAAGCAAAUGAUUAACAUGUCAGAGGUCUGGAGACGCAGGGAAAGUCACGAGGGUCUUAACUCAUGGGGUCAGAACAAAGUGUCAUCCUCAGAAGAUGGAAAGACCGGAGGGAUUGUGAUGUUCCUUCACCUCUCACACUCCUGUUUGACUGUACUGCGACCAGACGGCUCGACCAGACGGCCGAAUUCAGAAUUCUGCUGAAAGACCCGCGCGUACAAGCCAGAGCAUAGUGGAGACAUUUCGAGCCUUUGAUCGUGCGCCUUUCUCUCAAGAGCUCCUUGAAAACAUAAUGAAGAAAAACUCAAUCACGCGUAACAAAGGCGUCAGUCAAUGAUUUAAUUGCGAUGAAAGCGUUUGCAUUUAAUCCUGUGUUUGGCGUCUCCAUUAGAAAUGAUGAUUCUGCACUCUAAAAAAAAGCCGUAAAAAUAGGGCACAAUAUACUGUAUUAAUAUGAAGGAAUUUUCCGUGUUCAUUUUUACAGUUGUUUUACCUGUAUUUUACAUUUUGCACUGCAUUCAUUUGCAUUUUAGCAUUAAUGGAA